UUAAAUAUGGAAUGCUUCACGACUUUGCAUGUCAUCCUUGCGCAGGGGCCAUGCUAAUCUUCUCUGUAUGGUUCCAAUUUUAGUAUAUGUGCUGCUGAAGCGAGCAC
rnacentral:snRNA from 1 species